UGCCUUACACAUGCAAGUCGAACGGCAGCACGGGAGCUUGCUCCUGGUGGCGAGUGGCGAACGGGUGAGUAAUACAUCGGAACGUACCCAGGAGUGGGGGAUAACGUAGCGAAAGUUACGCUAAUACCGCAUAUUCUGUGAGCAGGAAAGCGGGGGAUCGCAAGACCUCGCGCUCUUGGAGCGGCCGAUGUCGGAUUAGCUAGUUGGUGAGGUAAAAGCUCACCAAGGCGACGAUCCGUAGCAGGUCUGAGAGGAUGAUCUGCCACACUGGGACUGAGACACGGCCCAGACUCCUACGGGAGGCAGCAGUAAGGAAUAUUGGUCAAUGGACGCAAGUCUGAACCAGCCAUGCCGCGUGGAGGAUGAAGGUCCUCUGGAUUGUAAAGUUC
rnacentral:rRNA from 1 species